UACGAAGGGGGCUAGCGUUGUUCGGAAUUACUGGGCGUAAAGCGCGCGCAGGCGGUCUUCCAAGUCAGUGGUGAAAGCCCCGGGGCUCAACCCCCGGAACUGCCUUUGAAACUAGAUAGCUAGAAUCUUGGAGAGGUCAGUGGAAUUCCGAGUGUAGAGGUGAAAUUCGUAGAUAUUCGGAAGAACACCAGUGGCGAAGGCGACUGACUGGACAAGUAUUGACGCUGAGGUACGAAAGCGUGGGGAGCAAACAGG
rnacentral:rRNA from 1 species